CCCUUAGAUGUUCUGGGCUGCACGCGCGCUACACUGAUGCGUUCAACGAGCCUUCCUUGCUCGAGAGAGCUGGGUAAUCUUCAUGAAAACGCAUCGUGAUGGGGAUAGGCGCUUGUAAUUAUUCGCCUUGAACGAGGAAUUCCUAGUAAGCGCGAGUCAUCAGCUCGCGCUGAUUACGUCCCUGCCCUUUGUACACACCGCCCGUCGCUCCUACCGAUUGAAUGGUCCGGUGAAGCGUUCGGACCGUGGCCUUUGGACGGUUCGCCGUCUGUUGGCUGCGGGAAGUUCGUUAAACCUUAUCAUUUAGAGGAAGGAGAAGUCGUANCA
rnacentral:rRNA from 1 species